AGUUCGUAGUGACCUGCGGAGGAUCAUUAUCGUACAAAAUGUGAGAGGGGCAUGCGAGGGCUGUCGCUGACUCAAAGUCGUGCACGCCCGAGUGUGUCGCCUCACAUAAUAAUCCAUCGUCACCCUUUGUGCAUCACCGCGUGGGCACCCCUUUGGGAUCAUCUCGGAGGGGGCUCGCGUUUUCACACAAAACCCCCCUUUUAARAGUGUAGAAUGACCUCAUUUAUGCGCUAACCCGCAAUCAAUACAACUUUCAACAACGGAUCUCUUGGCUCUCGCAUCGAUGAAGAACGCAGCGAAAUGCGAUACGUAAUGUGAAUUGCAGAAUUCAGUGAAUCAUCGAAUCUUUGAACGCACCUUGCGCCCCCUGGUAUUCCGAGGGGCACACCCGUUUGAGUGUCGUGAAAACCUCAACCUCCUUGGUUUCUUCUGGAGACCAAAGCAGGCUUGGACUUUGGAGGCCUUUGCUGGCACCUCUCGCCAGCUCCUCUUAAAUGAAUUAGCAGGGUCCUCUYUGCUGAUCCUCGACGUGUGAUAAGAUGUUUCCAUGUCUUGGUUUCUGGCUCUGUCACCUUUGGGACCCGCUUCUAACCGUCUUCAACCUUGCGUUGAGACAACGUUCGAGCAUGUCUCCCUUCUCGGGAAGCUCCCUCGACCCCACGAACCCUUGACCUCAAAUCGGGUGAGACUACCCGCUGAACUUAAGCAUAUCAAUAAGCGGAGGAAAAGAAACUAACAAGGAUUCCCCUAGUAACUGCGAGUGAAGCGGGAAAAGCU
rnacentral:rRNA from 1 species